GCUGAACAACGCUGAGCUGAAAAAACUGAGCUGCUAAGCUGCCCCAGUAUCCAGAGAGGAAAAAUCAAUAACGUGAUCAUUCUGGAUCAACAUUAGCAAGUAUGUCCAGGAUCAAUAUGGCAAUGAUGCCCCUGGAUCAACAUUAGCAAACCUUGAGCAAGGAUCAGCGUGGUGAUGGUGGUCCUGGAUCAACAAAUCUAUUAUGGAUCAACAUAACAAUGAUUCUCCUGGCACAACUUUAGAAAAUCUAUCAAGGAUCAACAUGGUGAUCAGCAUCCCUGGAUCAACAUCAACAACUCUAUCCAGGAUAAUGGCGUAUGAAAUGACACAGAAUAAUCUCUUUUUAAUACAAGAUACUGCAUUAGAGAAAAUGUGACCAUCACAGGUCGUUGUGUGGUUCACUAACUUAAACCUGUCAGUAUUAAUGUUAAGCUAACACGACACUAGCCUAACUACUAGGAAGCAUAUGUGUUAGCAAUAGCAAUCUAACUAGGUAGCUAGCUACUGAUAUAAAUUAUAAGAGUGCUCAUUUAAACUGAAUUAUCGAAAUAGGUGCAGUAACAUUACA